rnacentral:misc_RNA from 1 species
GUGAAUCAUCAAAUUUUUGAACGCAUAUUGCACUCUCUGGUAUUCCGGAGAGUAUGCCUAUUUGAGGGUCAUUUGAAAUAAUAUAAAUUUCGAGAUUUUCUUUAAAUCAAAAAUGGGUCGGUCCAGCUUUCUUGUUUUGGUCUCCUAAAAUGCAAGACAAGCUCAUUGCUUUUGUUUCGUGAUACUUUCAUUUACCUCGUUACUUCACAAGAUAUUUUCGAGCUGGCUAAGA